rnacentral:miRNA from 2 species
ACGGCACGAGGAUGUUGCUU